GCAGAUAGGGGACAACGUUUGGAAGCGAAUGCUAAUACCUGAUAUUAUAUUGUAGGGCAUCCUAGAAUUAUGAAAGCUAUAUGCGCUGUGAGAGAGCUUUGCGUCCCAUUAGCUAGUUGGAGAGGUAACGGCUCACCAAGGCGAUGAUGGGUAGCCGGCCUGAGAGGGUGAUCGGCCACAAGGGGACUGAGACACGGCCCUUACUCCUACGGGAGGCAGCAGUGGGGAAUAUUGGACAAUGGACCAAGAGUCUGAUCCAGCAAUUCUGUGUGCACGAUGAAGUUUUUCGGAAUGUAAAGUGCUUUCAGUUGGGAAGAAAAAAAUGACGGUACCAACAGAAGAAGUGACGGCUAAAUACGUGCCAGCAGCCGCGGUAAUACGUAUGUCACAAGCGUUAUCCGGAUUUAUUGGGCGUAAAGCGCGUCUAGGUGGUUAUGUAAGUCUGAUGUGAAAAUGCAGGGCUCAACUCUGUAUUGCGUUGGAAACUGUGUAACUAGAGUACUGGAGAGGUAAGCGGAACUACAAGUGUAGAGGUGAAAUUCGUAGAUAUUUGUAGGAAUGCCGAUGGGGAAGCCAGCUUACUGGACAGAUACUGACGCUGAAGCGCGAAAGCGUGGGUAGCAAACAGG
rnacentral:rRNA from 1 species